GACGUAGGGCGCGAGCGUUGUCCGGAUUUAUUGGGCGUAAAGAGCUCGUAGGCGGCUUGUCGCGUCGACCGUGAAAACUUGGGGCUCAACCCCAAGCCUGCGGUCGAUACGGGCAGGCUAGAGUUCGGUAGGGGAGACUGGAAUUCCUGGUGUAGCGGUGAAAUGCGCAGAUAUCAGGAGGAACACCGGUGGCGAAGGCGGGUCUCUGGGCCGAUACUGACGCUGAGGAGCGAAAGCGUGGGGAGCGAACAGG
rnacentral:rRNA from 1 species